UAUAUUUAGGCCAGGGUUUUUUAAUUUGUUGGUUUACGGAUUUUCCCCAUGAAAAAGUCGGGUCGGUCGGUCGGGAAAAAAAAGAAAAAAAAUAUCUUUCAAGACAGAAAAAUAUGCAAAUAAAUAUAUAUUUCACCUUUCUGACAAUAUGUUUGUUAUGCUAUUUUGUCAUCAUUUCUUAGAUUUUAGUUCGAUGAAAUUGUAUUGCUCAGCUGUCAUAAACAUCGCAUGACAUUCUAAUAAUUUUCCGUACAAAAAGGGGGGAUGCACGGAAAAGACGAAAUUAAAUUGUCAUUUCACAAACAAGAAAAACAGAUUCGCGUAGCUCUUUAUCAACUCCAGAAAACUUGUUGAAGUAUGAUCUUCAAGCACGAAAACUGAUUAAGAAAAAAAUGUAAAAACGUCGUACGAAAAUAAGUUUCAACACACGUGUCAAAAACGAAAUAGACUCGUCCACUGGAAAAACGAGAAUAUCGGGUUAAUCUGUUGUCAUGCAUUCCUGUUUUUUUAUCCAA
rnacentral:lncRNA from 1 species